UAGCUAAUUUAUUUUUUAAUAUUUUCAAUAAAUAUUUUCUGCCAACGAGUUUUUAAUAUACAAUUAACAUAUCAUCGAUUCUAGAGAAACUUUAUUACAAGCAUCUGCAUAUUUUUAACAUGUAGACUUUUCAAUAGAGCAGUCAAUCUUUCGGAUUCAAGUAUAAAAAUUUGCAUAUUUUUUUUUGGUUGCAGUCGACAACCACUACCAACUCUUUCAUUCUGCACUUGUACUAAGAUAUGCUCGGGGGCGGCUCAACAUCUUUGGAGGCCUAAAGC
rnacentral:lncRNA from 1 species